rnacentral:rRNA from 1 species
GUGAGGAAUAUUGCGCAAUGGAGGCAACUCUGACGCAGCCAUGCCGCGUGCAGGAAGAAGGCGCUACGCGUUGUAAACUGCUUUUAACCGGGAAGAAACCCCAGGACGUGUCCUGGGUUGACGGUACCGGAGGAAUAAGCACCGGCUAACUUCGUGCCAGCAGCCGCGGUAAUACGAAGGGUGCAAGCGUUAUCCGGAUUCAUUGGGUUUAAAGGGUGCGUAGGCGGAGCGUUAAGUCAGUGGUGAAAUCCUGCAGCUUAACUGUAGACUUGCCAUUGAUACUGGCGCUCUUGAGUGCGCUUGAAGUGGGCGGAAUGUGCCGUGUAGCGGUGAAAUGCUUAGAUAUGGCACAGAACACCAAUUGCGAAGGCAGCUCACUAAGGCGAUACUGACGCUGAGGCACGAAAGCGUGGGGAUCAAACAGGAUUAGAAACCCGGGUAGUCC